CUGCUCAGAUUUGCUGUUUCAGGUGAUGAAACUGUUAAGAACCGGGAGUAGAACCAGAUCUGGACCACCACUUCAGGGCCUGACCCUGUUUCACUGACGACACCGACACACAGCUCAUCUUCAUCACGCUUGGCAGCAGGACAUAUGGGAGUGAUGCCAGGUUACUGGCUGCUUGCAGCAUUUUCUAGAAACCCUCCAGAACAGAUGAGCUGCAGGUCCAGUUUGAGCUGAGAAACAUGAAGCUGAUGAAUGAAAUCCUACAUAAAACCCACCAUGAGCAUCACACUGAGACAAAGGAAGGGAUGGAGAUACGGUUGUGACACACCCACUGAGAACGCAGCAGCAGCAGGUUCUCCACAUCAAACAGCUUUUCUCACCUCAGGAGGAGCAGCCCGAGAAG